rnacentral:rRNA from 1 species
GACGAACGCUGGCGGCGUGCCUAAUACAUGCAAGUCGAACGCAGUGGGGACGGGUGAGUAACACGUGGGUAACCUCCCAUCAGAGGGGAUAACCCUUGGCAACAGGUGCUUAACCGAUAUUGGUGGAUGGACCCGGGUGGGAUGAGCUAGUGGGUGAGGUAGCGGAUCACCAAGGCCACGAUGCAUAGCCGACCUGAGAGGGUGAUCGGCCACACUGGGACUGAGACACGGCCCAGACUCCUACGGGAGGCAGCAGUGGGGAAUAUUGGGAAAUGGACGAAAGUCUGACCGAGCAACGCCGCGUGAAUGAAGAAGGUUUUCGGAUCGUAAAGCUCUGUUGUUAGAGAAGCGGUAUCUAACCAGAAAGCCACGGCUAACUACGUGCCAGCAGCCGCGGUAAUUC